rnacentral:rRNA from 1 species
GUGAGGAAUCUUCCACAAUGGGGGCAACCCUGAUGGAGCAACGCCGCGUGCAGGAUGAAGGCCUUCGGGUUGUAAAGCACUUUUGGCAGGAAAGAAAUAGUGCGUGCUAAUACCAUGCGCGAAUGACGGUACCUGCAGAAUAAGCACCGGCUAACUACGUGCCAGCAGCCGCGGUAAGACGAAGGGUGCAAGCGUUAAUCGGAAUUACUGGGCGUAAAGCGUGCGCAGGCGGUUUUGUAAGACAGGUGUGAAAUCCCCGGGCUCAACAUGGGAACUGCACUUGUGACUGCAAGGCUAGAGUGUGUCAGAGGGAGGUGGAAUUCCGCGUGUAGCAGUGAAAUGCGUAGAGAUGCGGAGUAACACCGAUGGCGAAGGCAGCCUCCUGGGAUAACACUGACGCUCAGGCACGAAAGCGUGGGGAGCAAACAGGAUUAGAUACCCCUGUAGUCC